rnacentral:rRNA from 1 species
UAACGAAUCUUCCGCAAUGCACGAAAGUGUGACGGAGCGACGCCGCGUGUAGGACGAAGCCCUUCGGGGUGUAAACUACUGUCAGGGGUUAGAAAGUUCUGAUCAACCCCAGAGGAAGGCACGGCUAACUCUGUGCCAGCAGCCGCGGUAAGACAGAGGUGCCAAGCGUUAGGCGGAAUCACUGGGCUUAAAGCGUGUGUAGGCGGAUCUGUAAGUGUCUUGUGAAAUCCCACGGCUCAACCGUGGAACUGCUUGACAUACUGCGGAUCUUGAGCCACUUAGGGGUCAGCGGAACAAAUGGUGGAGCGGUGAAAUGCGUAGAUAUCAUUUGGAACGCCAAUGGUGAAAACAGCUGACUGGGAGUGUGCUGACGCUGAGACACGAAAGCCAGGGGAGCAAACGGGAUUAGAUACCCCCGUAGUCC